ACCAAAUGUCUCAACCUCCGUGUGUGGUGUUUGCAGUUUUACAGUUCACACGGCAGAUGUAUGUGGUCUCUCAGGAGUUCUGCUUUGAAACUAAGUUUCAGAACAUAAAUUCUCAACAUGGUUCGGAUCCAGGCUACCUACAGGAUCAUCUUUUCCUGGACAAUCUGGUUCAAACACGACCUCUGGGGGCAGCUACUCCAGCCUGCCAGAACCCGGCUAGCAACCACCGCCCAGAGGACCUUUUCAUCGGCUGACCCAUGACUGUGGAUUGACCUGCUGGAAGAGCUCAGACUGCUAAAUGAACUGUCAGAAUUUCUAACACAAUUGAAGACCUAUCUCUUCCGGCAGGCCUA
rnacentral:lncRNA from 11 species